AGACCCGAAACCCGGUGAUCUAGCCAUGGGCAGGUUGAAGGUUGGGUAACACUAACUGGAGGACCGAACCGACUAAUGUUGAAAAAUUAGCGGAUGACCUGUGGCUGGGGGUGAAAGGCCAAUCAAACCGGGAGAUAGCUGGUUCUCCCCGAAAGCUAUUUAGGUAGCGCCUCGUGAAUUCAUCUCCGGGGGUAGAGCACUGUUUCGGCUAGGGGGCCAUCCCGGCUUACCAACCCGAUGCAAACUGCGAAUACCGGAGAAUGUUAUCACGGGAGACACACGGCGGGUGCUAACGUCCGUCGUGAAGAGGGAAACAACCCAGACCGCCAGCUAAGGUCCCAAAGUCAUGGUUAAGUGGGAAACGAUGUGGGAAGGCCCAGACAGCCAGGAUGUUGGCUUAGAAGCAGCCAUCAUUUAAAGAAAGCGUAAUAGCUCACUGGUCGAGUCGGCCUGCGCGGAAGAUGUAACGGGGCUAAACCAUGCACCGAAGCUGCGGCAGCGACACUGUGUGUUGUUGGGUAGGGGAGCGUUCUGUAAGCCUGUGAAGGUGUGUCGUGAGGCAUGCUGGAGGUAUCAGAAGUGCGAAUGCUGACAUAAGUAACGAUAAAGCGGGUGAAAAGCCCGCUCGCCGGAAGACCAAGGGUUCCUGUCCAACGUUAAUCGGGGCAGGGUGAGUCGACCCCUAAGGCGAGGCCGAAAGGCGUAGUCGAUGGGAAACGGGUUAAUAUUCCCGUACUUGGUGUUACUGCGAAGGGGGGACGGAGAAGGCUAUGUUGGCCGGGCGACGGUUGUCCCGGUUUAAGCGUGUAGGUGUGUGUUCCAGGUAAAUCCGGUUCACUUUAACACUGAGGCGUGACGACGAGGCACUACGGUGCUGAAGCAACAAAUGCCCUGCUUCCAGGAAAAGCCUCUAAGCAUCAGGUAACAUCAAAUCGUACCCCAAACCGACACAGGUGGUCAGGUAGAGAAUACCAAGGCGCUUGAGAGAACUCGGGUGAAGGAACUAGGCAAAAUGGUGCCGUAACUUCGGGAGAAGGCACGCUGACACGUAGGUGAAGUGAUUUACUCAUGGAGCUGAAGUCAGUCGAAGAUACCAGCUGGCUGCAACUGUUUAUUAAAAACACAGCACUGUGCAAACACGAAAGUGGACGUAUACGGUGUGACGCCUGCCCGGUGCCGGAAGGUUAAUUGAUGGGGUCAGCGCAAGCGAAGCUCCUGAUCGAAGCCCCGGUAAACGGCGGCCGUAACUAUAACGGUCCUAAGGUAGCGAAAUUCCUUGUCGGGUAAGUUCCGACCUGCACGAAUGGCGUAAUGAUGGCCAGGCUGUCUCCACCCGAGACUCAGUGAAAUUGAACUCGCUGUGAAGAUGCAGUGUACCCGCGGCAAGACGGAAAGACCCCGUGAACCUUUACUAUAGCUUGACACUGAACAUUGAGCCUUGAUGUGUAGGAUAGGUGGGAGGCUUUGAAGUGUGGACGCCAGUCUGCAUGGAGCCGACCUUGAAAUACCACCCUUUAAUGUUUGAUGUUCUAACGUGGACCCGUUACCCGGGUUGCGGACAGUGUCUGGUGGGUAGUUUGACUGGGGCGGUCUCCUCCUAAAGAGUAACGGAGGAGCACGAAGGUUGGCUAAUCCUGGUCGGACAUCAGGAGGUUAGUGCAAUGGCAUAAGCCAGCUUGACUGCGAGCGUGACGGCGCGAGCAGGUGCGAAAGCAGGUCAUAGUGAUCCGGUGGUUCUGAAUGGAAGGGCCAUCGCUCAACGGAUAAAAGGUACUCCGGGGAUAACAGGCUGAUACCGCCCAAGAGUUCAUAUCGACGGCGGUGUUUGGCACCUCGAUGUCGGCUCAUCACAUCCUGGGGCUGAAGUAGGUCCCAAGGGUAUGGCUGUUCGCCAUUUAAAGUGGUACGCGAGCUGGGUUUAGAACGUCGUGAGACAGUUCGGUCCCUAUCUGCCGUGGGCGCUGGAGAACUGAGGGGGGCUGCUCCUAGUACGAGAGGACCGGAGUGGACGCAUCACUGGUGUUCGGGUUGUCAUGCCAAUGGCACUGCCCGGUAGCUAAAUGCGGAAGAGAUAAGUGCUGAAAGCAUCUAAGCACGAAACUUGCCCCGAGAUGAGUUCUCCCUGAGACUUAAAGUCUCCUGAAGGAACGUUGAAGACGACGACGUUGAUAGGCCGGG
rnacentral:rRNA from 1 species